rnacentral:rRNA from 1 species
CCAGACUCCUACGGGAGGCAGCAGUGGGGAAUAUUGCACAAUGGGGGGAACCCUGAUGCAGCGACGCCGCGUGGGUGAAGGAGUAUUUCGGUAUGUAAAGCCCUAUCAGCAGGGAAGAACAAUGACGGUACCUGACUAAGAAGCACCGGCUAAAUACGUGCCAGCAGCCGCGGUAAUACGUAUGGUGCAAGCGUUAUCCGGAUUUACUGGGUGUAAAGGGGGCGCAGACGGCGAUGCAAGCCAGGAGUGAAAGCCCGGGGCCCAACCCCGGGACUGCUCUUGGAACUGCGUGGCUGGAGUGCAGGAGAGGCAGGCGGAAUUCCUGGUGUAGCGGUGAAAUGCGUAGAUAUCAGGAGGAACACCGGUGGCGAAGGCGGCCCGCUGGACUGCAACUGACGUUGAGGCCCGAAAGCGUGGGGAGCAAACAGGAUUAGAUACCCCGGUAG